rnacentral:rRNA from 1 species
CUGCGAAAGCCGGAUUAAUACCGCAUACGAUCUACGGAUGAAAGCGGGGGACCUUCGGGCCUCGCGCUAUAGGGUUGGCCGAUGGCUGAUUAGCUAGUUGGUGGGGUAAAGGCCUACCAAGGCGACGAUCAGUAGCUGGUCUGAGAGGACGACCAGCCACACUGGGACUGAGACACGGCCCAGACUCCUACGGGAGGCAGCAGUGGGGAAUUUUGGACAAUGGGCGAAAGCCUGAUCCAGCAAUGCCGCGUGUGUGAAGAAGGCCUUCGGGUUGUAAAGCACUUUUGUCCGGAAAGAAAUCCUUGGUUCUAAUAUAGCCGGGGGAUGACGGUACCGGAAGAAUAAGCACCGGCUAACUACGUGCCAGCAGCCGCGGUAAUACGUAGGGUGCGAGCGUUAAUCGGAAUUACUGGGCGUAAGCGUGCGCAGGCGGUUUGCUAAGACCGAUGUGAAAUCCCCGGGCUCAACCUGGGAACUGCAUUGGUGACUGGCAAGCUAGAGUAUGGCA